GUCGUCGUAGCUCACCCGGUGAGAGCGCCGCGCUGAUACCGCGGAGGUAGGAGGUUCAAGUCCUCCCGACGACA
rnacentral:tRNA from 1 species